AAUACUUCAUGGUAAUUUCUUCAGAAAAAAAAAAAUCCUUCUAGAAUUAAGAAUUCGGUGGUUAUGGGCCAAGACAGAGUCUGAGACGUCAAUUUUGACAAUCAAGGAACUGGACCAUCGCGGUUUGUUCUUUAACCAAAAUGCUUCAAAGGUGUGAUACUUAUUUCUUUUAGUAGGAUUUUGACAGAAAUGUUUCAAAUAUGAAAUUUAUAAAAGGUAUAAUAUUUAAAUAAAUUCUUGAAUUUCAGUAAAAAAAAUAAAAUAAGUUUUUGAAUUUUAUUAUAUGAAAUUAAAAUUAAGAAUUCUUCUUUAAUUAUAACGAAAACUUGGCGUUAAAAAAAGAUUGCAUAUAUUUCAUUGAAAUCUUUUUGAUUGACUCAUAUCACUUACAAAAAACGGUUGUUAAGAUUGUUUUUAUUGAGGCAAAUCAUAAAUUCUUUAAAAUUUUACUUUAAUAAUUGUGAUAUUUGAGCUUUACUUAUUUAUUUAUUUUUAAAUUUAAUAAGUUAAUUAUAAUAAUAUAAAAAUUAAUAAUAUUUGAUUUCAUGUAACAAAGUAUUAAAAAAUCUUUUUUUCUUUUUUUAACUAGUAUAAAUUUUGAGAAACAAAUGGCGCCGCCAUCAACUCCAAAUCUGAACACACACAUACACACGCAAAGCACAGCUUUCACGGCGGAAGUCAUAAGCUGAUAAGCACCGGCACGUGAGUAAAAAUGGGUUCGAUUCCUAAUCUUAUUUAUCUCUCAUAGUCACAUCACAUCUGCAUAAUUUCCAACAUAUUGAAAUACGGAACAAAAUGCUACUGUGUUGGGUCAACAUUGGACAAUCCAUCCCAUGAAUUAUUAAUUACAGAUUCCAAUAUAUUUUUGAGGUAGCUAUGUAUGAACUACAUUAGUCAAGGGUAAAUUAAGGGACACAAAUCCUCGUCAUGCGCAACCUUAAUUCUGGAUACGGAGGAUUGCGAUUGAGUGAUAUGUAGGAAAGGCAUAAGCUUUGGUGCAUUACGGAAUUUGGUAUUCUCGCUCUUUAGAGCGUUUGAUUCUGACAGUCAUUUAGAUAGUAAUUUUUUUAUCUUUAUUUUUUUUAUGGAUUACUUUAUAUUAUUAUUAUUAUUAUUAUUUAGCUUCUAUCGUUAUCCCGGUGUCAUUCACAGCUUAUGGGAUUG
rnacentral:lncRNA from 1 species